UACGAAGGGGGCUAGCGUUGCUCGGAAUUACUGGGCGUAAAGGGCGCGUAGGCGGCUUGCUUAGUCAGACGUGAAAAUCCUGGGCUUAACCUGGGGACUGCGUUUGAUACGGGCAGGCUUGAGGAUGGAAGAGGCUCGUGGAAUUCCCAGUGUAGAGGUGAAAUUCGUAGAUAUUGGGAAGAACACCGGUGGCGAAGGCGGCGAGCUGGUCCAUUACUGACGCUGAGGCGCGACAGCGUGGGGAGCAAACAGG
rnacentral:ncRNA from 2 species